GCAAACUUGGUCAUUUAGAGGAAGUAAAAGUCGUAACAAGGUUUCCGUAGGUGAACCUGCGGAAGGAUCAUUAUCGGGAGUGCCUUCGUGGCUCAACCUGCAACCCGGUGUUGUUACCACUCAACUGCCCUUUGGCGGUUCAUCCGCCAAAAGCAAUCUCAAACUCACUGUGAAUGUGUCAUGAUCUUAACUAAAAUUCAAUAAAAUUAAAACUUUCAACAACGGAUCUCUUGGUUCUGGCAUCGAUGAAGAACGCAGC
rnacentral:misc_RNA from 1 species